GACGAACGCUGGCGGCGUGCCUAAUACAUGCAAGUAGAACGCACAGUUUAUACCGUAGCUUGCUACACCAUAGACUGUGAGUUGCGAACGGGUGAGUAACGCGUAGGUAGCCUGCCUGGUAGCGGGGGAUAACUAUUGGAAACGAUAGCUAAUACCGCAUAAUAUUAAUUAUUGCAUGAUAAUUAAUUGAAAGGUGCAAUUGCACCACUACCAGAUGGACCUGCGUUGUAUUAGCUAGUAGGUGAGGUAACGGCUCACCUAGGCGACGAUACAUAGCCGACCUGAGAGGGUGAUCGGCCACACUGGGACUGAGACACGGCCCAGACUCCUACGGGAGGCAGCAGUAGGGAAUCUUCGGCAAUGGACGAAAGUCUGACCGAGCAACGCCGCGUGAGUGAAGAAGGUUUUCGGAUCGUAAAGCUCUGUUGUAAGAGAAGAACGGGUGUGAGAGUGGAAAGUUCACACUGUGACGGUAUCUUACCAGAAAGGGACGGCUAACUACGUG
rnacentral:rRNA from 1 species